CCUACGGGAGGCAGCAGUCGAGAAUCAUUCACAAUGGGGGAAACCCUGAUGGUGCGACGCCGCGUGGGGGAAUGAAGGUCUUCGGAUUGUAAACCCCUGUCAUGUGGGAGCAAAUUAAAAAGAUAGUACCACAAGAGGAAGAGACGGCUAACUCUGUGCCAGCAGCCGCGGUAAUACAGAGGUCUCAAGCGUUGUUCGGAAGCACUGGGCGUAAAGCGUGCGUAGGCUGUUUCGUAAGUCGCGUGUGAAAGGCGCGGGCUCAACCCGCGGACGGCACAUGAUACUGCGAGGCUAGAGUAAUGGAGGGGGAAGCGGAAUUCUGGGUGUAGCAGUGAAAUGCGGAGAUAUCGAGAGGAACACUGGUGGCGAAGGCGGGUUCCUGGACAUUAACUGACGCUGAGGCACGAAGGCCAGGGGAGCGAAAGGGAUUAGAUACCCCGGUAGUC
rnacentral:rRNA from 1 species